rnacentral:lncRNA from 1 species
AUGCCUCGUGGGCAGAAGAGUAAGCACCGUGCUCAUGAGAAACAUCGCCAGGCUCAGGCUGAGACCCAGGGUCUUCAUGAUCAGGCUACCACAUCUGGGGAAGAAGAGACCACCUCCUCUUCCCCUCCUGAUUCAGAGAGCAGUCCCUCAACCUUGUCUGCUGCUGGCAUCUCCAAGGGGCCUCAAGGAGCCCAAGGCACCACCAGCGCUGCUGCAGGUGCUAUACGCAAAAGAUCUGGUGUCAGGCGCGCAGCACGCUCGAGAUCUGUUGUUGGUGUUGGUGCCGAGGGCCAAGUUCAGGAAGGGGAAAAUUCUUCCCAGGCCUCAGCUGCUGCUGAGAGCUCUCAUACAGAUCUUCUGACCUGGAAGGCAGAGAUGUUGGUGCAGUACAUGCUGUGUAAGUAUAAGGCGAGGGAGCUCAUUAAGAGGUCAGAAAUGCUGAAGGCAGUCACUAGAAGGUACAGGGAGCAAUUCCCUGAGAUCCUUAGCAGGGCCUCUGAACACAUGGAGAUGGUGUUUGGCCUGGUGCUGAAGGAAGUCAGGCCCAACAGUCACUGCUAUACCCUGGUGAGCAACCUAGAUCUCAGUGACAGUGAGUCUAUGAGAGGUGACUGGGGGCUGCUGAAGAAUGGUCUUCUGAUGCCUCUGCUGGGUGUCAUCUACCUAAAUGGCCACCGUGCCUCUGAGGAGGAGAUCUGGAAGUUCCUGAAUAUUCUGGGCAUCUAUGAUGGAAGAAGGCACUUCAUCUUUGGAGACACCAGAAAGCUCAUCACAGAAGAUCUGGUGCGGGAAGGGUACCUGGAGUACCGCCAGGUGCCCGGCAGCGAUCCCCCUCGCUAUGAGUUCCUGUGGGGUCCUAAAGCGCUCUCAGAAACCAGCAAGACAAAAGUCCUGCAGAUUUUGGCCAAGGUCAAGGAUUUGGUCCCCGACGCCUUACUGCCGCAUUAUGAGGAGGCUUGGAGAGAGGAGGUAGAGAGCUCCAGAACCAGAGCUGUAGCCGGGACCAGCCCUUCUGCCUUGGCCAGUGUUGGCCCUUCUGCCUCGGCCAGUGUUGGCCCUUCUGCCUCAGCCAGUGCUGGGCCUUCUGCUCGGCCAGUGCUGGCCCUUCUGCCUCGGCCACACCUGGCACUUCUGUUGCAGCCAGGGCUGACAUGUCUGCCAUGGCAAGGCCCAGCCCUUCUGCCUCAGCCAGUGCCGACCAUCCUGCCUCGGCCAGACCUGGCACAUCGGCCUUGGCCAGGGGUGACAUGUCUGCCAGGGCCAGGCCUGGCCCUCCUGCCUCAGCCAGUGCUGGCCCUUCUGCUUUGGCCAGUGCUGGCCAUCCUGCCUUACCCAGACCUGGCAAAUCGGCCUUGGCCAGGGCUGACAUGUCUGCCAGGGCCAGGCCUGGCCCUUCUGCCUCUGCCAGUGUUGGCCCUUCUGCCUUGGCCAGACCUGGCACUUCUGCUGCCAGCAGGUCUGGCAUUUUGGCCUCGGCCAAUGCUGACAUAUCUGCCAUGGCAAGGCCCAGCCCUUCUGCCUCAGCCAGUGCCGACCAUCCUGCCUCGGCCAGACCUGGCACAUCGGCCUCGGCCAGGGGUGACAUGUCUGCCAGGGCCAAGCCUGGCCCUUCUGCCUUGGCCAGUGCUGGCACUUCUGCCUUGGCCAGACCUAGCACAUCUGCUGCAGCCAGGGCUGGCACUUCGGCCUCAGCCAAUGCUGACAUAUCUGCCAGGGCCAGGCCUGGCCCUCCUGCCUCUGCCAGUGCUGGCCCUUCUGCCUUGGCCAGUUCUGGCCCUUCUGCCUUGGCCAUACCUAGCACAUCUUCUGCAGCCAGGGCUGGCACUUUGGCCUCAGCCAGUGCUGACAUGUCUGCGAGGGCCAGGCCUGGCCCUCCUGCCUUGGCCAGACCUGGCACUUCUCCUGCCAGCAGGGCUGGCACUUCGGCCUCGGCCAGGGCUGACAUGUCUGCCAGGGCCAAGCCUGGCCCUUCUGCCUUGGCCAGACCUGGCCCUUCUGCCUCAGCCAGUGCUGGCCCUUCUGCCUCGGCCAGACUUGGCAUUUCUGCUGCAGCCAGGGCUGACAUGUCUGCCAGGGCCAGGCCUGGCCCUUCUGCCUCAGCCAGUGCUGGCCCUUCUGCCUCGGCCAGACUUGGCAUUUCUGCUGCAGCCAGGGCUGACAUGCCUGCCAGGGCCAGGCCUGGCCCUUCUGCCUCAGCCAGUGCUGGCACUUCUGCCUUGGCCAGACCUGGCCCUUCUGCCUCAGCCAGACUUGGCAUUUCUGCUGCAGCCAGGGAUGACAUGUCUGCCAGGGCCAGGCCUGGCCCUUCUGCCUCAGCCAGUGCUGGCACUUCUGCCUUGGCCAGUGCUGGCCUUUCUGCCUUGGCCAGACCUAGCGCAUCUGCUGCAGCCAGGGUUGGCACUUCGGCCUCAGCCAGUGUUGACUUAUCUGCCAGGCCCAGGCCUGGCCCUUCUGCCUCUGCCAGUGCUGGCCCUUCUGCCUUGGCCAGACCUGGCCCUUCUGCCUCAGCCGGACUUGGCAUUUCUGCUGCAGCCAGGGCUAACAUGCCUGCCAGGGCCAGGCCUGGCCCUUCUGCCUCAGCCAGUGCUGGCACUUCUGCCUUGGCCAGACCUGGCCCUUCUGCCUCAGCCAGACUUGGCAUUUCUGCUGCAGCCAGGGAUGACAUGUCUGCCAGGGCCAGGCCUGGCCCUUCUGCCUUGGCCAGUGCUGGCCCUUCUGCCUUGGCCAGACCUGGCACUUCUGCUGCCAGCAGGGCUGUCACUUUGGCCUCGGCCAGGGCUAAAGUGUCUGCCAGGGCCAGGCCUGGCCAUUCUGCCUCAGCCAGACCUGGCACUUCUGCUGCAGCCAGGGCUGGCCCUUCUGCCUUGGCCAGGGCUGACAUGUCUGCCAGGGCCAGGCCUGGCCCUUCUGCCUCAGCCAGUGGUAGCCCUUCUGCCUUGGCCAGACCUGGCCCUUCUGCCUCAGCCAGUGGUAGCCCUUCUGCCUCAGCCAGUGGUAGCCCUUCUGCCUUGGCCAGGCCUGGCCCUUCUGCCUCAGCCAGUGGCAGCCCUUCUGCCUUGGCCAGACCUGGCCCUUCUGCUGAAUCCAAUGCUGGCACUUCAUGCUCGGCCAGGGCUGACACGUCUGCCAGGGCCAGGCCUGGCCCUUCUGCCUCAGCCAGUGGUAGCCCUUCUGCCUCAGCCAAGCCUGGCCCUUCUGCCUCAGCCAGCGGUAGCCCUUUUGCCUCAGCCAGGCCUGGCCCUUCUGCCUCAGCCAGGCCUAGCCCUUCUGCCUCAGCCAGGCCUAGCCCUUCUGCCUCAGCCAGUGGUAGCCCUCUGCCUUGGCCAGGCCUGGCCCUACUGCCUCAGCCAGUGGUAG